GAUGAACGCUAGCGGGAGGCCUAACACAUGCAAGCCGAGCGGUAUUUCUUCUUCGGAAGAGAGAGAGCGGCGUACAGGUGCGGAACACGUGUGCAACCUGCCUUUAUCUAGAGGAUAGCCUUUCGAAAGGAAGAUUAAUACUCUAUAAUAUAUUAAUUGGCAUCAAUUGAUAUUGAAAACUCCGGUGGAUAGAGAUGGGCACGCGCAAGAUUAGCUAGUUGGUGAGGUAACGGCUCACCAAGGCAAUGAUCCUUAGGGGGCCUGAGAGGGUGAUCCCCCACACUGGUACUGAGACACGGACCAGACUCCUACGGGAGGCAGCAGUGAGGAAUAUUGGUCAAUGGGUGCAAGCCUGAACCAGCCAUCCCGCGUGAAGGAUUAAGGUCCUAUGGAUUGUAAACUUCUUUUGUAUAGGGAUAAACCUACCCUCGUGAGGGUAGCUGAAGGUACUAUACGAAUAAGCACCGGCUAACUCCGUGCCAGCAGCCGCAGUAAAAC
rnacentral:rRNA from 1 species